UAUCAGUGUUCUGCCUCAUGUUCGUGGCGUGUUCUUGGUUUUGUUAAAAGGGUUCACCCGUACUUGCUUCUGACUCACCGCCCCGUCAUUACAGAAUACCAACUCAAGCAGCAGGACAAAUGGACAUCUCCCAGACAAUCAAUGAACAAGGUGCUCUUCUUCAUCAACACCAUAAUCAGUUGGCUCAACUGGGGACGGCCAUGGAAGAGGUUCUCUGCAGUCUACAACAUCUCGACAGCGGAGCAUAUUCUAGAGCCAGUCUAACCAACGAGUCCGCACACCAGCCCAUUCAGCAAACCGCUCAGGUCAGCGAUGCCAGUCUAUCCCUCCAGGAGAAAUAUGAAUGGACACUAUCUAAAUGCUGUGGCUUCCUCCUUCAGUGCUCCCUCUAUUUCGCACAUCUAAUGGGAGCUCUCACCACAGAGGUCUAAGGUUGCCACAGAUAUUUCUCUGCUGACUGGGCAGGCAUUGGAAUAGGCUACGGCCGUUUUGGGAGAGAGGAGCUUGAGUCUUGUGAGGGGUUCAUUUAAAUGUAUUUUUUAUCCUUCUGCGGAGGGCUGCUUCAGCUUCAUGUGCUUACCUUCCGGACAAUAGCAGCUUCCAGUGGAUGGAAUGAGCCGGUCCAGAUGGAACUGGCCUGCCGAGAUGACAACCUCACCCUGGACACACCCAUUGCGAUGGCCAUUUGUCUGGAUAACCUUCGGGACCGUCGGCAUCUACAUCCCUUCUCUCCCACCUUUGGCGAGUGUUCGCGAUCGGAGCCUGAAUCCAUGGAGGUAGGGGUCACAUCUUCCCGUGGCGGAAUGACAGAUACAGCUGGGACUCUGUCUAUACUGUGGCCAGGGAGGGCACAAGCGCCAGUGUUGUCCGUUACCUCAGAAUCCAGGAUCCAGUGGAGCAGCAGGACAGUCAUGUGAUGUUACAUCCCCUGGACCAGGAGUUCAAGGUCUUGACUGUUGGCCUCUAGGAUCUGGAACCAUCACACACAUCACCCAACCACUCACCCUCACCAUGGAGCCCAAUCACCAGGAAAACAUCCCCUUCAUCACCAGUUCACAAGAUCAUCAUUGGCCUACCUUGGCUUCAGCCCCAUAACUCUACCAUCUCAUGGUCGAGGAUGAGAAUCACAGACUGGUCACCUGAAUGCCUGAGAACCUGCUUUCCUGUCCCCUUUGGUUCCACGUCGGUUGAGAGUCCGGUGGUUUCACUCCAGCCCAACAUCCCAGAGGAAUAUCAGGAUCUAAGGGAGGUGUUCUCCAAGACCUGCGCUAACUGUGUCCCUCCUCAUCGGCCCUGGGACUGUGCCAUUGACCUGUUUUCCAGUGCUACACCUCCGUGCAGCCUCAUAUACCCUCUGUAAGUGGCUGAGACCCAGGCCAUGGAGGACUACAUACACAAUGUGCUCCAAAAGGGUUUUAUCCGCAGGUCCACGUCGGCUGGUUUCUUCUUCGUGGCCAAGGAGGGAUGAUUACGCCCUAGUCAUUGAGUCCACGGUAAUCGAUACAUCGCCAAAAAGUAUCAGUACCCUCUCCCGAUGGUGCCGUCAGCCAUCGAGCAGCUCCGCAAGGCCUGGUUCUUCACCAAACUGGACCUGCAGAGUGUCUACAAUCCCAUUCGCAUCCGGGAUGGGGAUGAGUGGAAGACAGCAUUCAGCACGAUGUCUGGUCAUUACGAGUACUUAGUUAUGCCCUUUGGCUUAGCCAAUUCUCUGUCAGUGUUCCAGGCAUUCAUCAACAAGGUGUUCAGGGACAUGCUCGGACAUCAUGUGAUUGUGUACAUCCUGCUAUUCUCGACCACUCUGGAGGAUCACAUCACUCAACGUUUGAGCAGUCCUGGAACGCCUCUUGGCUAACCAUCUGUUCAUGGUUAGAAGUGCCAAUUCCACCAGAGGGCGGUCUCCUUCUUGGGCUACCAAAUCAGCCUGCAGGGAGUGAAGUUAGACAAGGAAGUAGAUGCAGUAAGGGCAUGACCAGUCCCAACCACCAUCUUCAAGUGGUUACAACGGUUUUUGGGGUUUGCCAACUUUAUGAUGUCGGCAAUGACUGUCACAUCUGCUCCUCCCCUCCGGCAUACGUCGUCGCCAGAGUACUAACCACCGGUCCUGGGAUUCAACAUUACGGGCACCUGGCACUCAUCAUUAACCAGGACUCCAUUACUUUCAUAAUUUCCUCCCAUAUGUCAGUCUCCCAGGUUCACUCACCAGUGUAUCGGCGUUCUGUCUUAUGUUUUUUUUUUAAUUAUUAAAACGUUUCACCUGCA